rnacentral:misc_RNA from 1 species
GAAGGACUCACUUUCUAUACAAUAAAAAAUAAGAAGAAUUUAUGAGAAUAUUAUUUUUAAUACUCUUAGUACACCUAAUAAUUAGGCAAGCAGGGAUGGGGAGGAUGCAACUACCCCAACGAACCUUUAAUUGUUAAUUAACCCGCCAUGCAUUGAAUUUGCCGACCGGAAAAAGAGCGGGAUUUUGCAGCCCACAUGUUUUUGUUUUAUAUAUUUG